rnacentral:rRNA from 1 species
GCAACAGCUCAAAUUUGAAAUCUGGCUCUCGGGCCCGAGUUGUAAUUUGUAGAGGAUGCUUAGGGUGUGGUUCCGGUCUAAGUUCCUUGGAACAGGACGUCAUAGAGGGUGAGAAUCCCGUAUGUGACUGGUAACCUUCGCCCGUGUUAAGCUCCUUCGACGAGUCGAGUUGUUUGGGAAUGCAGCUCUAAAUGGGUGGUAAAUUUCAUCUAAAGCUAAAUACUGGCCAGAGACCGAUAGCGCACAAGUAGAGUGAUCGAAAGAUGAAAAGCACUUUGGAAAGAGAGUUAAAUAGUACGUGAAAUUGUUGAAAGGGAAGCGCUUGCAACCAGACUUGCAUGUGGUUGAUCAUCCGGUGUUCUCACCGGUGCACUCGAUCACGUUCAGGCCAGCAUCAGUUCUGGUGGUUGGAUAAAGGCCUAGGGAAUGUAGCUUCCUUCGGGGAGUGUUAUAGCCCUGGGUGCAAUGCAGCCUACCGGGACUGAGGACCGCGCUUCGGCUAGGAUGCUGGCGUAAUGGUUGUAAGCGACCCGUCUUGAAACACGGACCAAGGAGUCUAACAUCUAUGCGAGUGUUUGGGUGUCAAACCCAUACGCGUAAUGAAAGUGAACGGAGGUGAGAGCCCUUAAGGGUGCAUCAUCGACCGAUCCUGAUGUCUUCGGAUGGAUUUGAGUAAGAGCAUAGCUGUUGGGACCCGAAAGAUGGUGAACUAUGCGUGAUUAGGGUGAAGCCAGAGGAAACUCUGGUGGAGGCUCGUAGGGGUUCUGACGUGCAAAUCGAUCUCAAAAAUUGCGUAUAGGGGCGAAAGACUAAUCGAACCAUCUAAAAUCCAACUACUGGAUGGAAUAUAGAGUAUAGUCUGGCGUAGCCAGGCAACAUUACCACUGUGCGAGUAUGCCGCGAGGCUACCUGCAGCGGGGCCUAGGGCCCUGUUCACAGACUAAACGGUAGUGGCCCC